CUUUAGCGCGGUGGUCCCACCUGACCCCAUGCCGAACUCAGAAGUGAAACGCCGUAGCGCCGAUGGUAGUGUGGGGUCUCCCCAUGUGAGAGUAGGGAACUGCCAGAC
rnacentral:rRNA from 2 species